UACGUAGGGGGCAAGCGUUAUCCGGAUUUACUGGGUGUAAAGGGAGCGUAGACGGCAUAGCAAGUCUGAAGUGAAAGCCCGUGGCUCAACCGCGGAACUGCUUUGGAAACUGUUAAGCUGGAGUACUGGAGGGGCAAGCGGAAUUCCUAGUGUAGCGGUGAAAUGCGUAGAUAUUAGGAGGAACACCAGUGGCGAAGGCGGCUUGCUGGACAGAGACUGACGUUGAGGCUCGAAAGCGUGGGGAGCAAACAGG
rnacentral:rRNA from 1 species